GGGAGCUAUGUUUCCAGGACAUGGGAGCAGCGAUAAACUUUCGGUACAAAUUCGUGUUUUUCCACUGGUAAUCGAUUACAACCUUCAUGUAAUCGAUUACACAAGCACCUAAGUGCCUAUCUUACUCUUCCUCACAACACCACUUCGAUGCACUCAUAAAAACCCAAUUUUGUGGACACCCUUAUACCUUCCAAUCACUACUAAGUUCAGCCACAACUCCUUCGUCAUCAAAAUCAAACAACCAAGUGAUGGUCCUUCAAAUAAUUUC
rnacentral:lncRNA from 1 species